AGGCAAUUUCAUAGCUGUUGGCUCCAUGGAGCCUGCUAUUGAGAUAUGGGACCUUGAUCUUGUUGAUGAAGUUCAACCUUUUAUGGUCCUAGGGGGUGUCUCGAGUAAGAAGAAAACAGGG